UGGGCGUAAGCGCGCGCAGGCGGUUUCUUAAGUCUGAUGUGAAAGCCCACGGCUCAACCGUGGAGGGUCAUUGGAAACUGGGGAACUUGAGUGCAGAAGAGAAAAGCGGAAUUCCACGUGUAGCGGUGAAAUGCGUAGAGAUGUGGAGGAACACCAGUGGCGAAGGCGGCUUUUUGGUCUGUAACUGACGCUGAGGCGCGAAAGCGUGGGGAGCAAACAGGAUUAGAUACCCUGGUAGUCCACGCCGUAAACGAUGAGUGCUAAGUGUUAGAGGGUUUCCGCCCUUUAGUGCUGCAGCUAACGCAUUAAGCACUCCGCCUGGGGAGUACGGUCGCAAGACUGAAACUCAAAGGAAUUGACGGGGGCCCGCACAAGCGGUGGAGCAUGUGGUUUAAUUCUAAGCAACGCGAAGAACCUUACCAGGUCUUGACAUCCUCU
rnacentral:rRNA from 2 species